CCUACGGGGGGCAGCAGUGGGGGAUAUUGCACAAUGGGGGAAACCCUGAUGCAGCGACGCCGCGUGUGGGAAGACGGUCCUCUGGAUUGUAAACCACUGUCCCCAGGGACGAAGAUGACGGUACCUGGGGAGGAAGCUCCGGCUAACUACGUGCCAGCAGCCGCGGUAAUACGUAGGGGGCGAGCGUUUUCCGGAAUUACUGGGUGAAAAGGGAGCGUAGGCGGGACUGCAAGUUGGGUGUCAAAUCUACCGGCUCAACCGGUAGCCGCACUCAAAACUGCAGUUCUUGAGUGAAGUAGAGGCAGGCGGAAUUCCUAGUGUAGCGGUGAAAUGCGUAGAUAUUAGGAGGAACACCAGUGGCGAAGGCGGCCUGCUGGGCUUUUACUGACGCUGAGGCUCGAAAGUGUGGGGAGCAAACAGGAUUAGAUACCCCGGUAGUC
rnacentral:rRNA from 1 species